rnacentral:rRNA from 1 species
UACGUAGGGUGCAAGCGUUGUCCGGAAUUAUUGGGCGUAAAGAGCUCGUAGGCGGUUCGUCGCGUCGGCUGUGAAAACCCGGAGCUCAACUCCGGGCCUGCAGUCGAUACGGGCGGACUUGAGUUCGGCAGGGGAGACUGGAAUUCCUGGUGUAGCGGUGAAAUGCGCAGAUAUCAGGAGGAACACCGGUGGCGAAGGCGGGUCUCUGGGCCGUAACUGACGCUGAGGAGCGAAAGCAUGGGGAGCGAACAGG